CGCGGGGUGGAGCAGCACGGUAGCUCGUCGGGCUCAUAACCCGAAGGUCGCAGGUUCAAAUCCUCCUGUCCCCGCAACCA
rnacentral:tRNA from 1 species